ncrna:unclassified sequences Transposase-2 RNA
GAAGUGCGAACCAAGUGUCGGCGGAAACGUCGUGUCAGACUUGGAGCGGGUGCCCGCAAGGACACCCUGCA